rnacentral:rRNA from 1 species
UACAGAGGGUGCGAGCGUUGUCCGGAAUCACUGGGCGUAAAGGGCGCGUAGGUGGCGCGACAAGUCAGUGGUGAAAGCUCGACGCUCAACGUCGAGUCGGCCACUGAGACUGUUGGGCUUGAGCACUGUAGAGGCUAAUGGAAUUCCGGGUGUAGCGGUGGAAUGCGUAGAGAUCCGGAAGAACACCGGUGGCGAAGGCGGUUAGCUGGGCAGUUGCUGACACUGAGGCGCGAAAGCUAGGGGAGCGAACGGG